GGUCUGGUGGUCUAGUGGUAUGAUUCUCGCUUAGGGCUCACCCUAUUCUGAUUGCGAGAGGUCCCGGGUUCAAUCCCCGGCCAGACCC